UUCACUUUUUCCUGUGAUGCGAUAAUUUCACUACAGACCCUAGUCUCACUCACCACCCAGCAGACCAGCGAGCUACCUGAAGGUGCUAUUUUUAGCCUCUGCAACUGAGUGACAUUACGGUGACAAGUCAACUUCAUGAAAAGACAAAAACCCUCCAAAGAAAAAGAAAGAAGACAGCAAAGACAUGAAGAAAAACAGAUACGCUCAUCAAAGAUAGUGGCCGGAUCCAAUAGACAGAUGCUCUUCUGAAAUAUUUUCCCUCUACCUCUGUACAUCCCGGGCCAUCUUUUACAGCAAACUUAUCCACAUCAGCACCAAGUCCAAGCCCACCAAGUCCAGGAAAGAAGUGCACCUUCCAAAACAACUGUCACAUGAAAGUGCAAUAGAUCCUUUUG